rnacentral:pre_miRNA from 1 species
CUUUUACUCCUUCCGUCCGAAAAUAUUUGUCAUCAAAAUGGAUGAAAAGGGAUGUAUCUAUCCAUUUUGAUGACAAGUAUUUUCGGACGAAGGGAGUAUUUA